UGGUGUCUCUGGAACAGAACUUCUCAAGGGGGUGAGGAAGUGACAAACCAAACAUUCAGGCUUUGUAGUGGAAAGAGCUGGGCUGGGCCAGCUGGCAAGCAGAGUUCAAAUCCGGUUACAGAAUGUACUUCCUGUGUGACCUUGGGCGAGUGGCAUCCUCCCUCUGAGCCUUGCAUAGUCAAAAGGUGACUGAGAUAGCUUUUGCGCUCGCUGCUGUACUCACCCAAAAGGAACAAAAGCGUCCGGUGCAUCCUUCUGAAGGCACAAAGCACUCCACAAGCGUGAGCACUUCAGGGGGCUGCGGUGCGGACCUUCCAGCCUCACCCAGGAAGUUGUUUCGCAUCCUCACCCAGAAACGUUUCCAGACUUUCCUUGCAGGGCUCCCACUUCAGCUCCACUUCCGGUGGGCCCUGUGGCCUUCAGUAAGUGACUUUUCCUCCACAUGCCUUGAU
rnacentral:lncRNA from 1 species